AGUCUGGGUGGACAGCUUCGCCGGAGCUGAGAGCCCGCGACCUGCCGGACCAGGGCUGGGCCGCGGGUCAAUGAUCCAGGAAAUCCCGUCACUCGCGUGCCUGUGGCUGAAGCGCGGCAGCUUGUCUUGUCCGUUUCGUGUCAGUUUCAGGGCUGAGUGGCAGCGUCUGGACUUUGCGGACGCCGAGGGCUCAGAUGCUGGGCUCUGGGGAGGGAGAGGGCGCCGGCCGGCCUGUCCCUCUCCGGGGAUUUGCAGGUACCACCUGUCGGCUUUGUUUCAUCAUCAGGAGCCCCUUUGCCCAGAAAUCCCGAUCGUCUACACCCAGGUCUCUACUGAUCAGAGAUUGAGAGUGAGUCAACAGGAGUCCAACACGUGACCCCCAUAAGUCUACCCUCUUUUCCCCCAAUACUUGUAGAUACCACCCAGUAACACCCGUGUGUGCUAAAAAUCCUAUUCUGGGAGUUCUUCGGCAGUUUAAAUCGCCCAUGAAUUACUCAUAUUUUCUCAAUCCACCGUGAGCCUGGCACAUUUCUUUUCAGUAAUUGAUUGGGAAAGUGCAAGCCAUUGGUGACCUUUAGAAGUUUUAAAUGUUUAUAACGAAAGGGCUAAGGACAGAGGAGAUUACCCACACUUAAGUAUUUUGCACCUUAAAAAUGCUAGCAAAAAUAUGAAUUUAUAUUCCUUCAGGGAGAAGAUUUCGUCUGAGGACGUAGGCCGAACCUUGUGUUUUAUAUGUCAUAUGAAUUACGCUCUGAAACUAAAAUAUGAAAUAGAUUCCAUAAUUAAGCCCUUUGGAAUAUCAGCCUCAUCUGAAUUAUUUCUAAGGAUAUUUUUGCCUUUUUUGGUUUAUUAAAAACUUCCUUUUGGGGAAACUUGUAUAGAUUUUCUGCACUUAGGCAAAAUAAAGCAUUUUAUUCAAAAUAUUUCUUAGGGUUUUCCUAGAACUUACUCUUCUUUCUUCCUGUAAAGACAAACCUAGGAAAUUGUUCAGAAAAAGGCCCAAGGUGAUUUCCUCAUAACCUAUAGUGAUUAGUGAGAAAAAGUUUGGAUAUUGGGGAUUUCGGGGUUGAUUUGAUAAUUUCAGGAAAAUGAAGAAAACCUCAAAUUUAAGAUAUUAAAAUGUUUAAAAAUUGUCCUAGAGAAAACGAUGGUACUAAAAGCUUAAAAAUUUCUAAAGAUUAAGAGAGCUGACAGUGAUUUAAAAAAUACAUUUAAUCUAGGAAAAGCAGUAGAUUAAGAAAGAUAUUAGGAAUGUUGUCAAAUGCUGUCUUUUAAAGGUGGAUAAUUGCUUUAGUGACAC
rnacentral:lncRNA from 1 species